GUUUUUGCCAGGGGGGAAAAAGCCCUACAUUUUAAAACCUUGUCCUAUGUUUUUCCCAGUUUGGAGGUCCUCAGGGAUGGCAACCCUAAUUCUGUGCCACCACUAAUCUUAUUUUUUGCUCCCCAGCAUGAUGGGCAAGAUGAUGACAGCAGCAGUAGCAGCUCCGACAGUGAUUCUGAAAAGGGUCACAGUGGUGACAAGAAGAAAAAGAAGGAAAAGAAAGAAAAGGAUUAACUUUCAGGCAGCCUAAAACUAGAGGAGGCAUUUUGGAGAGAAAGAAUCAAGUGUCUGAGUUUACUUUAUCCAAAAUAAAGCAUCUUUAGUGUUUUUACAUUA